UUCUUCUUUGAUGCUUUGAGUGUUUCUGUGCUCGAUGCAAAUCGCAUCUGCGCAUUAAAGCCGCUGGAAGGAAGCCCGUAAAUAUGGCGUCGGGUUUCGGUCGUUUGGAAAGGUUGCAAAAUUGGAUCAAAAAUGUGCAAAGUGACUCCCGCAACAAGUUCAUUUUACACGCGCACGUGCACAUGCGCAUGCGUGUGUGUCUGUGUGUGUGUGUGUGUGUGUGGUGUGUGUGUUAGAAGCUCAUUUAUUUCGUUUCUUUGAUUCCACAGACUAAGAUGAUGAUGAUGAUGAUGAUGAUGAUGAUGAUGAAGACAUCACAUCUGCUGUCGAGUUUUGCUUUCAAAAAGGAGAAAGCGGACACGCGACCGUUUCCUCGGCAAAAAAAAAAAAGCCAAAGUUGAGGAGAGGAGAAGAAGAAAAUCCCCUUUGAUCUUUGGAAAGACGACCCGCAGCGCCAACCGACGCUUUGUGCGGCGUCUUCGAUGGCCGCCGCACACACGCCGGGAUGACGACGACGACAAAGGUGAGCGGUAUCGACGUCGCUCUCAAGUAGCCGUUACCUUCAAACAAGGCGUAAAGCAGCCGUCAGUAUUCGAGCGGCUCGUCCAGCGACACAACGCUCAGCGGUUUGAAUCCCGACUUCGACUAUCCGCGUGCGGAAGUGCCCCGGGGCGAGACGCCCACAACUAAAUUUGGCAAACGGGGACUUGGGCCACUGUGACUCGCCCUAACGUUAACCAUGUUCCAAAUGGUGUAGGAUUAGUAAAGUACACUCGCCGCUGUACAGAAGUGUUGCACUUGAUUGUUUUGGAUAAAGCAGAUGGGGGGGGGCUCACUUUCUAGCGGCUAACCUGGCUAAAUGCUAACCGGCGAGCGUCUUGUAUUGACCAAUAAAAAAAAAAAUGCCGUUGUUGUCAUUGGCGUUUUGUUGUUUGUUUGUUUUUAUUUUUGUGUUGUAACACAAAGCAUCAUGGGAACACACAAGAAUGCGCAAGAAGAAAAGUGUGUGCGCGCGUGCGCGCGCGACAGCGUGUGAAAAUUCACACAGUGGCACAAACAACAGUGGCAAAAUAUAAUAUGGCGUUGAGGGUAUUGAGGGUGUGGAUGUGUGAUUUAGGGGGAGUGGGAAAGCACGCCGCCGCCACCUCUGGUGGAUUCGAUCAUCAAACGCAUCCCAAGACGCGCGUGCGGUUAUUAGCGGGAGCAGGUACAGCUGGGGCUUCAGAAGUCGACGCCAGCCGCCAUCAUGCUAGUCUCACGCUCAUUAACGCGCAAUCGUGACGCUCAACUCGUCAACGUCUGAUCCAAGCUAGGUGGCUAAGUGCUAAAACGCUACAUUGCUGGGUUGCUAAGAUGCGAGGUGGCUAAAAUUGGAUUUUAAACUCACGAGGAGACGGUCGGCCUGUCUUUGUGCCGAUUUCCAAUCAAAUGCGUCAAACGUCGGACAAUCUUCCUUCCAUAAAGUCACGCUACAAGAUGACUUUGUCGCGAUCGCAGAGCCCAAAACGCGUCAGCAAUCUAAAAUCUCCCAGUGUGUGGGAGAAUCCGCCGUCUCUGAGAAUCGCGACACGGCUUUGGGAUGUGACCGGUCGAGAAUCUUCGUGACUCGGGCAAAACCAAGCGGCCGGCGCCAAUUGAAGCUAGCAAACGUGAACGGCAAGCCCAGAAGGUUUGCCGUCUCCGGGAUUGUUUACCUUUCUUUUUUUGGGGCUGUGGGAUGUUCCGUUUCAAAAAGGUUUCCUCUAAUCGUGCGUCUUCUUGGUUUGCCGUCAUCGCUACAUUUGUUCGGCUUUUGCUACGUGCGUGGAGAUUUUUGGAGGACACCUCUCACAACACAACCAAAACUUGGUCUGUGGGGUCUACCCCAGAUUCCCCCCCAAAAAAAAGAAUAAAGAUUUGGAAAAAUCCUCGUGCGUGGACCAGGCCAAAGAUGUCCAGUGGUGAAGUCGUAAGAUUAUACAGUCAGCGACUAAGACUUGGAUUGGGUGAGGUAGCCAAGAUGCUUGGUUGCUAAAUGGCCGGCAAAGAUGCUACGAAGCUAAUUGACGAAAACGCGAUGUAGCUCUAAGUUGCAGCUUUCAUUUUUUGCUACGAGCGUCAAACAGAACCAAAGUGGAGGUAGUGGCCUUUUUCAACCAAUUCAAACAUAAUUUAGGGGGAGCAUGAAAUGAAGUUAGAACCGAUGGAAUCGGAAGUGUCAUUGGAAGAGGGAAACAAAUGAAAGACUGCACCUGACUGGGAUUGUUUCGUAGUACUAAAUAAUAAAUGGCGUGCGAGUGGCUGUGAUUGCUAAUGGGCUAAUUAGUCGUUGCUCACAUUAGCGGACAUCGGACACUCGGCUCCUCAAUGCUAACGCUGACGUCUGGGCCCCAC